UACCCCAGGAUAUCAAAUGUCAAUAAGUGGUUGUACCUUCUUGAUGCAACCAAAUUACUGUAACCAGUCAAGAACGAUCAAUGCCAGGAAAGCAUCCGCAUCUCUACAAUGAUGGAGGACCUCUAGACUUAUACUUAAUGAGGAGAUUUCAGUUUAGGUCUCUUAUAAAUCAGCAGAUCUGACAUCCGAUUGAUUAAAUUAGGUUAGCACAUCAAUAUAUCUAACCAUCC
rnacentral:lncRNA from 1 species